rnacentral:rRNA from 1 species
GGCGGGACACGAGAAAUCCUGUCUGAAUUCGCCAGGACCGCCUGGCAAGGCUAAAUACUCCCGAGAGACCGAUAGUGAACCAGUACCGCGAGGGAAAGGUGAAAAGUACCCCGAGCAGGGGGGUGAAAUAGACCCUGAACCCGCGCGCCUACAAGCGGUCGGAGCCAUGAAAUAUGGUGACGGCGUGCCUUUUGCAUAAUGAGCCUACGAGUUAGUCGUCACCAGCGAGGUUAAGGGCUUCAGGCCCGUUAGCCGAAGUGAAAGCGAGCCUUAACAGGGCGUCGAGUUGGUGGCGCUAGACGCGAAACCUUGUGAUCUACCCACGAGCAGGUUGAAGUCGCGGUAACACGUGAUGGAGGACCGAACCGGUAAACGUUGAAAAGUUUUCGGAUGACUCGCGGGUAGGGGUGAAAGGCCAAUCAAACUGGGAAAUAGCUCGUACUCUCCGAAAUGCAUUUCGGUGCAGCCUGUGAUGUUCUGUUCCAGAGGUAGAGCUACUGGUUGGACGCGAGGGCUUCACCGCCUAUCAAAUCCGGAUAAACUCCGAAUGCUGGAACACGAAAUCAUGGAGUGAGCCCGCGGGUGCUAAGGUCCGCGGACGAGAGGGAAAGAACCCGGACCACCGGCUAAGGUCCCGGAUGGACAGUUAAGUUGAUCAAACGAGGUGGGAUCGCGGAGACAGCUAGGAUGUUGGCUUGGAAGCAGCCAUUCAUUUAAAGAGUGCGUAACAGCUCACUAGUCGAGCGAUCCCGCGUGGAUAAUACACGGGCAUCAAACUGUCAACCGAAGCCGUGGGGUUAGUUAAUGACUAACCGGUAGGAGAGCAUUCCUGCCAGCUUAGAAGGUCACCCGCGAGAGUGACUGGAGCGGCAUGAAAAGCAAAUGUAGGCAUAAGUAACGAUAAUGGGGGCGAGAACCCCCCACGCCGCAAGACCAAGGAUUCCCCGGCAAUGUCAAUCAGCCGGGGGUCAGCCGGCCUCUAAGGCUCACCCGAAGGGGGAUGCCGACGAGAAACGGGUUAACAUUCCCGUGCUUCUCGUCACCGUGACGCGGUGACGGGGUGAUGAAUGGACCGCGCGCUGACGGAAUAGCGCGUUGAAGGCCGUACCCUGUGACGGUGGUAGUCAAGCACGCCACCGGAGGCGAAAGUCGAUAGUACCUCGAGGCCUCGGCCGAGGGGAUAGCGUCCAGGCAAUUUACCCCCUAGAAAACCCGCUAAACUUCAAGUGACGAGGAACCGUACUGUAAACGGACACACGUGGUCGGGUAGAACAUACCAAGGCGCUCGAGUGAUUCAUGGUCAAGGAACUAGGCAAAAUAGUCCUGUAACUUCGGGAAAAAGGACGCUCUAGUGAUAGAGCCGCAGAGUAAUGGCCCAGGCGACUGUUUACCAAAAACACAUGGCUAUGCCAAAUCGAAAGAUGACGUAUAUGGCCUGACACCUGCCCGGUGCCGGAAGGUUAAGAGGAGAGCUCAUCCGAAAGGAGAAGGUUUGAAUUGAAGCCCCGGUAAACGGCGGCCGUAACUAUAACGGUCCUAAGGUAGCGAAAUUCCUUGUCGGGUAAGUUCCGACCUGCACGAAUGGUGUAACGAUCUGGGCACUGUCUCGACCAUGAGCUCGGUGAAAUUGUAGUUCCGGUGAAGAUGCCGGGUACCCGCGACGGGACGGAAAGACCCCGUGAACCUUUACUGCAGCUUCGCGUUGUUCCCGGGCACGGGACGUGUAGGAUAGGUCGGAGGCUACGAGUCGGUUUCGCCAGGAAUCGAGGAGCCAUCGUUGAAAUACGACCCUUCUCUUGUCUGGGAUCUAACCCUUUGUAUAGGGGACACCGCGUGGUGGGUAGUUUGACUGGGGUGGUCGCCUCCAAAAGCGUAACGGAGGCUUCCAAAGGUACCCUCGGGUUGGUUGGUAAUCAACCGUAGAGUGCAAUGGCACAAGGGUGCUUGACCGGGAGACCAACAAGUCGAUCGGGUGCGAAAGCAGGGCAUAGUGAUCCGGUGAUCCCGCGUGGAAGGGUCAUCGCUCAAAGGAUAAAAGGUACUCCGGGGAUAACAGGCUGA